rnacentral:rRNA from 1 species
AUUGAACGCUGGCGGCAGGCCUAGCACAUGCAAGUCGAACGGUAACAGGAAGAAGCUUGCUUCUUUGCUGACGGGUGGCGGACGGGUGAGUAAUGUCUGGGAAACUGCCUGAUGGAGGGGGAUAACUACUGGAAACGGUAGCUAAUACCGCAUAACGUCGCAAGACCAAAGAGGGGGACCUUCGGGCCUCUUGCCAUCGGAUGUGCCCAGAUGGGAUUAGCUAGUAGGUGGGGUAACGGCUCACCUAGGCGACGAUCCCUAGCUGGUCUGAGAGGAUGACCAGCCACACUGGAACUGAGACACGGUCCAGACUCCUACGGGAGGCAGCAGUGGGGAAUAUUGCACAAUGGGCGCAAGCCUGAUGCAGCCAUGCCGCGUGUAUGAAGAAGGCCUUCGGGUUGUAAAGUACUUUCAGCGGGGAGGAAGGGAGUAAAGUUAAUACCUUUACUCAUUGACGUUACCCGCAGAAGAAGCACCGGCUAACUCCGUG